UACGUAGGGGGCAAGCGUUGUCCGGAUUUAUUGGGCGUAAAGAGCGUGUAGGCGGUUAGGUAGGUCCGUUGUGAAAACUCGAGGCUCAACCUCGAGACGCCGGUGGAAACCAUCAGGCUAGAGUCCGGAAGAGGAGAGUGGAAUUCCUGGUGUAGCGGUGAAAUGCGCAGAUAUCAGGAGGAACACCGGUGGCGAAGGCGGAUCUCUGGGCCGAUACUGACGCUGAGGAGCGAAAGCGUGGGGAGCGAACAGG
rnacentral:rRNA from 1 species